CCGCACCCGAGCCGGCGUCCGGCUUGGCGGCCAUUGUGUUUUUGACCAGCGAGCGAGCGCAGUAUUGCAGAUUGAAUUUGAAGUGUUUUUCGCCUUUUUGGGUUAUUAUUACAAAACCAGUGACGAGAUGGAUGAUGACAUUGACCAAGACGUCCCUCAGUUAUUAAAGCAGUGGGGUUUACCCCAAUAUAUUCAUACUUUUCAAGCCGUUGAAAAAUCUACUCUUAAAAUCGAAUGAAGGACAAGGCCUGCUAAAUUUAUAUUCAGAACAAGGCAAAUUAUCAAAUAAUGGGCGAAGAAAAGUUUGCAAUAUAAUAAUAAAAGACCUAAUGCAAUCAGACCCAAAUAAAAGAAUAGACAGUUCUCUACUUCUUACAAAAGCACAAGAAAUAACUGAAGUAUUCAAAAAGGAAAAUAUAAGUACUUACUUUAUUCCAUACAUUAAUGAUACUAAACUUAAAAUAAAAAGAUGUGCAAAAGGCAAAUUAUAUGACUGUCUACAAAACAGGCGCCGCGAAUUAAGGGAGGCUAAGGUUAUUAAAAAGAAAAAUGGCAGCAACAUCAACAAUAACAGCAACGAGCCAGAAGUCGUCGAAGAAG
rnacentral:lncRNA from 1 species